rnacentral:rRNA from 1 species
AGAGUUUGAUCCUGGCUCAGAUUGAACGCUGGCGGCAGGCCUAACACAUGCAAGUCGAACGGUAACAUUUCUAGCUUGCUAGAAGAUGACGAGUGGCGGACGGGUGAGUAAUGCUUGGGAACUUGCCUUUGCGAGGGGGAUAACAGUUGGAAACGACUGCUAAUACCGCAUAACGUCUACGGACCAAACGGGGCUUAGGCUCCGGCGCAAAGAGAGGCCCAAGUGAGAUUAGCUAGUUGGUAAGGUAAUGGCUUACCAAGGCAACGAUCUCUAGCUGUUCUGAGAGGAAGAUCAGCCACACUGGAACUGAGACACGGUCCAGACUCCUACGGGAGGCAGCAGUGGGGAAUAUUGCACAAUGGGGGAAACCCUGAUGCAGCCAUGCCGCGUGUGUGAAGAAGGCCUUCGGGUUGUAAAGCACUUUCAGUUGUGAGGAAAAGUUAGUAGUUAAUACCUGCUAGCCGUGACGUUAACAACAGAAGAAGCACCGGCUAACUCCGUGCCAGCAGCCGCGGUAAUACGGAGGGUGCGAGCGUUAAUCGGAAUUACUGGGCGUAAAGCGCACGCAGGCGGUUUGUUAAGCUAGAUGUGAAAGCCCCGGGCUCAACCUGGGAUAGUCAUUUAGAACUGGCAGACUAGAGUCUUGGAGAGGGGAGUGGAAUUCCAGGUGUAGCGGUGAAAUGCGUAGAUAUCUGGAGGAACAUCAGUGGCGAAGGCGACUCCCUGGCCAAAGACUGACGCUCAUGUGCGAAAGUGUGGGUAGCGAACAGGAUUAGAUACCCUGGUAGUCCACA